rnacentral:lncRNA from 1 species
AAAAGUGUGUGCAGUGAAACAUUGUAUUGUACUGAGACCCAGAAAUUUUGUUGAUAGGAAUAUUAGAAAUGCUAACAUUUUUCUAACCUUAAAGGAAAGAAAGAAAAUAAAGUGUUCCCAACCAUUGGCUGUUACCAGUGCAUUCACAGGAAUUAAUGACAAAUUUUCCAAAGGCUAAUAAGUAGUUCUAAAAGCAAAGGAUUUAUUUCUUCAAUUCAUUUCAUACCUAAUUAAAGCAUAAUAGUGCCCCUUUAUAUGAAGUAUGUUUCCUACGGAAAGAUCGGGCAAUGUGCUAAAAGCAUUUCAUUUUCUAGCAUGAGAUGUUCUUGUUUUCAUGGCCUGCCCUUUCAAAUAUGGCCAGAAUUAAAUAUUGUUUACCUUGCAUUUUAUAAUUAUUUCCUGUACUUGAUGGAAUAAAACUAAAAAUAAAACAUUAAAAAAAUUAAA